CGUUUUUGUUUUUUCUUUGCUUCAUUCAGUGUAUCUGCUCAGUGUUUGACAACCACAGGGAUGUUUUUGUGGUGCGUGAGAGCUACUAUCCUGCGUCUUUUAGAUGCAUCCUUUCUCCAACACGCCUGAUGAAAAUGAAUGUGUCCUUACCAGGCCUCUCCAGAGCUGAAUAACUAGUUUGUAUCCAUUUUACAGAAGCGAAGCGUGAAGGACUUGUUGCAAUGUCAGUCUUUUGUCUCCAUCUACUGGCCAGAAAUCCUCUGCAGUCUA